rnacentral:lncRNA from 10 species
AUUAGAUCCUGUGCUGAAAGAGAAACCAAGAAAAAAGAUGACAUUCCAGAAGAAGACAAAGGAAAUGUAAAACAAUGUGAAAUCAAUUAUGUAUGGAGUCUCGCUCUCUCCCCCAGACUAGAGUGCCAUGGCGCGAUCUCGGCUCAUCGCAACCUCCGCUUCCCAGGUUCAUGUGAUUCUCCUGCCUCAGCCUCCCGAGUAGCUGGGACUACAGAAAGAAAUUUCAGAGCUUCCAAGACCACAAACUUAAAAUAAGUAAAGAAGACAGUAAAAUUCUUAAAAAGGCUCGGAAAGAUGGAUUUUUGCAUGAGACGCUUCUGGACAGGAGAGCCAAAUUGAAAGCCGACAGAUACUGCAAGUGACUGGGAUUUUUGUUUCUGCCUUAUCUUUCUGUGUUUUUUUCUGAAUAAAAUAUUCAGAG